UACGUAGGGUGCAAGCGUUGUCCGGAAUUAUUGGGCGUAAAGAGCUCGUAGGUGGCCUGUCGCGUCGGCUGUGAAAACUCGGGGCCCAACUCCGAGCUUGCAGUCGAUACGGGCAGGCUAGAGUUCGGCAGGGGAGACUGGAAUUCCUGGUGUAGCGGUGAAAUGCGCAGAUAUCAGGAGGAACACCGGUGGCGAAGGCGGGUCUCUGGGCCGAAACUGACGCUGAGGAGCGAAAGCGUGGGGAGCAAACAGG
rnacentral:rRNA from 1 species